rnacentral:rRNA from 1 species
UGAGGAACAUGACUUUCGGCGGGGGAGUAGCCGGCCCAACGGCCGGGUAAUACCGCGUACGACCUCUCGGGGACAUCCCCGGUUGGUGAAAGCAGCAAUGCACCGAAAGAGUGCCUCGCGGCCUAUCAGCUAGUUGGUGGGGUAACGGCUCACCAAGGCAACGAUGCGUAGCCGACCUGAGAGGGUGAUCGGCCACAUUGGAACUGAGACACGGUCCAGACUCCGUACGGGGGGCAGCGAGUGGGGUAA